rnacentral:rRNA from 1 species
AUCGAACGCUGGCGGCAGGCCUAACACAUGCAAGUCGAACGGUAACAGGAAACAGCUUGCUGUUUCGCUGACGAGUGGCGGACGGGUGAGUAAUGUCUGGGAAACUGCCUGAUGGAGGGGGAUAACUACUGGAAACGGUAGCUAAUACCGCAUAACGUCGCAAGACCAAAGAGGGGGACCUUCGGGCCUCUUGCCAUCGGAUGUGCCCAGAUGGGAUUAGCUAGUAGGUGGGGUAACGGCUCACCUAGGCGACGAUCCCUAGCUGGUCUGAGAGGAUGAACAGCCACACUGGAACUGAGACACGGUCCAGACUCCUACGGGAGGCAGCAGUGGGGAAUAUUGCACAAUGGGCGCAAGCCUGAUGCAGCCAUGUCGCGUGUAUGAAGAAGGCCUUCGGGUUGUAAAGUACUUUCAGCGGGGAGGAAGGGAGUAAAGUUAAUACCUUUGCUCAUCGACGUUACCCGCAGAAGAAGCACCGGCUAACUCCGUGCCAGCCGCCGCGGUAA